rnacentral:rRNA from 1 species
GCAUUAGCUAGUUGGUGGGGUAAUGCUCACCAAGGCGACGAUGCGUAGCCGACCUGAGAGGGUGAUCGGCCACACUGGGACUGAGACACGGCCCAGACUCCUACGGGAGGCAGCAGUAGGGAAUCUUCCGCAAUGGACGAAAGUCUGACGGACAACGCCGCGUGAGUGAUGAAGGUUUUCGGAUCGUAAAGCUCUGUUGUUAGGGAAGAACAAGUGCGAGAGUAACUGCUCGCACCUUGACGGUACCUAACCAGAAAGCCACGGCUAACUACGUGCCAGAGCCGCGGUAAUACGUAGGUGGCAAGCGUUGUCCGGAAUUAUUGGGCGUAAAGGGCUCGCAGGCGGUUUCUUAAGUCUGAUGUGAAAGCCCCCGGCUCAACCGGGGAGGGUCAUUGGAAACUGGGAACUUGAGUGCAGAAGAGGAGAGUGGAAUUCCACGUGUAGCGGUGAAAUGCGUAGAGAUGUGGAGGAACACCAGUGGCGAAGGCGACUCUCUGGUCUGUAACUGACGCUGAGGAGCGAAAGCGUGGGGACGAACAGGAUUAGAUACCCUGGUAGUCCACGCCGUAAACGAUGAGUGCUAAGUGUUAGGGGGUUUCCGCCCCUUAGUGCUGCAGCUAACGCAWUAAGCACUCCGCCUGGGGAGUACGGUCGCAAGAC